rnacentral:rRNA from 1 species
UAACCUGCCUUGUAGCGGGGGAUAACUAUUGGAAACGAUAGCUAAUACCGCAUAACAAUGGAUGACACAUGUCAUUUAUUUGAAAGGGGCAAUUGCUCCACUACAAGAUGGACCUGCGUUGUAUUAGCUAGUAGGUGAGGUAACGGCUCACCUAGGCGACGAUACAUAGCCGACCUGAGAGGGUGAUCGGCCACACUGGGACUGAGACACGGCCCAGACUCCUACGGGAGGCAGCAGUAGGGAAUCUUCGGCAAUGGGGGCAACCCUGACCGAGCAACGCCGCGUGAGUGAAGAAGGUUUUCGGAUCGUAAAGCUCUGUUGUAAGUCAAGAACGAGUGUGAGAGUGGAAAGUUCACACUGUGACGGUAGCUUACCAGAAAGGGACGGCUAACUACGUGCCAGCAGNCGCGGUAAUACGUAGGUCCCGAGCGUUGUCCGGAUUUAUUGGGCGUAAAGCGAGCGCAGGCGGUUUGAUAAGUCUGAAGUUAAAGGCUGUGGCUCAACCAUAGUUCGCUUUGGAAACUGUCAAACUUGAGUGCAGAAGGGGAGAGUGGAAUUCCAUGUGUAGCGGUGAAAUGCGUAGAUAUAUGGAGGAACACCGGUGGCGAAAGCGGCUCUCUGGUCUGUAACUGACGCUGAGGCUCGAAAGCGUGGGGAGCGAACAGGAUUAGAUACCCUGGUAGUCCACGCCGUAAACGAUGAGUGCUAGGUGU